GGGAAAGCUGUCAUGCAUCCAUCUAUAAGGAUUUCUUAGCUCUUUGACAAUUUUAAGAGUACAUCUGGCAAAAGGACACUGUCUGCUAACAUCUCAAACUCAACAGCAAUAAACAAGUUCGAAGACUUGGCCACUAUGGCAGAAUAGAAAGAAACCAGCAGGCCUCAUCUGGGGGCUUGGGAUGAGGAAUGAGAUCUUUAAAUGAUAUAAAGUAAAAACGAGCCUUGACAUUCUUGUUUUUCUUUUUUCCUUUUUUAAGAUGAAUCUUUUCUCAAAAGUCCGGAGUUGAGGAAAGUGAUGACGGGCAGAGGCAGAUGCAGACGAACUGGAAACCCACCACAGCUGGAAUGAGGAGGCUCAAAGGACGUAGAAGCCCCCAUAUCCAGCUCUCAGAAUACUGAAAUAGUGGAUUCCAAGAAAUUAAAAGUGCCCUAGGAGCCUCAGGCUUGGAAAAGGAAAAGGCUGAGGGGGCUCUAGUCCCCAGAAGGACAUUUCACUCAGUGUUGACAAGCUGUCAGACGGCCAAGUAGCAGGCAGGAUGGAGCAGAGACAAGGAUGGCUCAGGGAUGGCUGGACCCGACCUUCCCCAGGGCUCCUCAGUUAUUCACGCUCUGCUCUUUGUUUAAACUAAAACUUCAUCUCAAGACCCCAAAGAUGGACUUCAGGGGAGGGGGGCACUUGACACCCCAUCUCUCUCCCUAAUGUAGCUACUCUGGAAACAAACAAACACUUUUUUUUUAUCAUUAUUGCUUGUUUUCUGAGGGCAAGUCACUGGGCUCAAUGUGAGAGCUACUGGGGCCCAGACUAUCCCCAGUUGCUCCAGAAACAGUGCUUGCUAUUUGGUAGACAUUAAGCACGCCAUGUAGUCUGAGGGAACCUCAGGUCUGUCUUAGUAAUUCUACUUCUUGUCCGGGUUCUGGGUACUACCUUCAUUCUACCAGGGAGCUCAGGUAACUCAGCUAACUAACAUAAAGACCAGCCCUUCUAUUGGGAUCCAGGUCAAAUGAAAACAGGGAAGAAAGAUGGGGGAGAAGAGAAGGCAAAGAAACUACUGUUUUACAAUUUGUCAUUCAUUUUUAAUGCUUGCUGUAUCCCACUCUGUGCCAACCUGUGUUAGGUACCAGAAAGAUACCUGUGGGUGAAGUGUCCCUCCACCGCGAGUCUUUCAGAGCUUCUGGGAUGAUGUUGACCACUGAAACAGCACUCAAUGCAAGGAGAGCGUGAGACCCAGGAGUAUACCAUUGCUCUCAUCAGACAUACCAGAAGAGGGCAACAGAUCUCAUUACAGAUGGUUGUAAGCCACCAUGUGGUUGCUGGGAAUUGAACUCAAGACUUCUGGAAGAGAGGUUGGUGCUCAUCUAUCCAGCCCCCAAGUGAAAGUUUCUAAUCCAGCCAAUUGAGAAUAUACACAGGUA
rnacentral:lncRNA from 1 species